GACGGGGGAUGCAAGUGUUAUCCGGAAUCACUGGGCGUAAAGCGUCUGCAGGUGGUUUCCUAAGUCCACUGUUAAACCUUGAGGCUCAACCUCAAAUCUGCAUUGGAAACUAGGGGACUUGAGUAUAGUAGGGGUAGAGGGAAUUUCCAGUGGAGCGGUGAAAUGCGUAGAUAUUGGAAAGAACACCGAUGGCGAAGGCACUCUACUGGGCUAUUACUGACACUCAGAGACGAAAGCUAGGGGAGCAAAUGGG
rnacentral:rRNA from 1 species